rnacentral:rRNA from 1 species
UACGUAGGGGGCAAGCGUUAUCCGGAUUUACUGGGUGUAAAGGGAGCGCAGGCGGCAGGAUGAGUCUGAUGUGAAAACCCGCGGCUCAACCACGGGAUUGCAUUGGAAACUGUCCAGCUAGAGUGUCGGAGAGGUAAGCGGAAUUCCUAGUGUAGCGGUGAAAUGCGUAGAUAUUAGGAGGAACACCAGUGGCGAAGGCGGCUUACUGGACGAUGACUGACGCUGAGGCUCGAAAGCGUGGGGAGCAA